rnacentral:rRNA from 1 species
AUUGAACGCUGGCGGCAUGCAUAACACAUGCAAGUCGAACGGGGCAGCAAUGCCUAGUGGCGGACGGGUGAGGAAUACGUAGGAAUCUGCCCUUAAGUGGGGGAUAACCAGGGGAAACCCUGACUAAUACCGCAUGAUCUCUUCGGAGCAAAGAGGGGGACCGCAAGGCCUCUCGCUUCUGGAUGAGCCUACGUCUGAUUAGCUAGUUGGUAGGGUAAAGGCCUACCAAGGCGACGAUCAGUAACUGGUCUGAGAGGAUGAUCAGUCACACCGGAACUGCGACACGGUCCGGACUCCUACGGGAGGCAGCAGUGGGGAAUAUUGGACAAUGGGCGCAAGCCUGAGCCAGCAAUGCCGCGUGUGUGAAGAAGGCCUUCGGGUUGUAAAGCACUUUAGCCUGGAAAGAAAAAACUUUGGUUAACACCCAAAGUCUUGACGGUACCAGGAGAAUAAGCACCGGCUAACUCUGUGCCAGCCGCCGCGGUAACAC